UUCCGCGGGAAACUACAACAAUCAUCAUCAGUCCACUGCUAUUUCCUCCGCGUAAAAGCAAUGCAAGAUGUGCUACCUCGUUUUGGAGGUGUUUUCAGGACACAGGGAAGGAAGAUGAAACCUGACUAUCUUGCACCUCAAAGGAUGGACAGCUUAGGAUACCACACGGAGGGGGGUGAAGGAGCCUUGGGGAUGCCUGAAGGAGGGGCAGUGAAGGAGGGUGGCCUGGAGGUGAAGGAAAUGCAGAAAAUUCCUCUAAUACUGAGCGCUUCUCUGGUCAGACCAUCCUUCACUGAAUAUUUGGACCGAGGCUUCAAGAUACGAGUGAGCCAGGCGACCCUCCAGAACACCGCCGUCCUGCCCACUUGUGGUGUGGCAGCCCUGAUCGUACCCUCCCUCCCUCCUCCUCCUCCUCCUCCUCCUCCAGCAAAGAAGAGACCUUUGACCAGCUGGUGGACAGGGUCCGCGCCUUUAGCCGAGUACACGCGGGGGGCGUUGUAAUACUGGUGGGUGCUGUGUUUGGCAUGGAGGAGGUGAACGGGGUGUUGGGGAAGUUAUCAAAGAGGUUACUACCACGCCCUCUCCUGCUACUGCCUGCCCACGGGGAAGCCCAGGCUGCCGCGCACAUACAACUACUGGCAAAGAAGUAGCGGCGGGGCUGGAAGUGGGCGGGAGUUUAGCAGGCUUCGCUAAGAUUGGGCUGGAAGUUAACGGAGGAGGAGGCGCGGCACGUGACAAUGCAAUACAGGGCUUACAGAGGACAGGCGUGGACUGGGCCCUGCCUCGCCGCCCUUGUCAACACCUUAGAGAGAGAUACGCUCACCUUGUAGAGAGAGAGAGAGAGAGAGAGAGAGAGAGAGAGAGAGAGAGAGAGGAUAUAUUUUAAUUUUCUUUCGUUAUAUAUUCAAUUUAUUUAUUUAUUUAUUAUUUUAACGGUUAUUUUCUUUUCUCUAUUUUUCGUUUCGUUUUUUUUUUAUGGAAUGUUGAAUUUUACCUAUUGUAACGCCCGGGUAUUAUUGUUGUUUAGUCUAAGUUGCCUUUAUUUCUUUCUGUGGGAUUGAGUGUGUGACGUGUGUGUGUGUCAGCUGUGCCUGGUGUCUGGCAGUGGUGCAUGGAUGGCGAGAGAGAAGUCGCGUGACUGCAGUGACUGGGCAGUGUGUUGUUGGCCCCGCUCUGGAUAACUUGUCUUUGCGUGUCCUCCGUGCCGAGUGCCUGUUGCGUGAGCCUGAAGAGUUUGACUGUCCCUGCCUGUGUCUGUAACUGCCUGUAACUAACGGAACUAGUAAAGGAAGAAAGUGUUGCCCACUGUUUGUCUACCCGCUCUGUCUGGCUGUGCGUGAAUCACGUGGGACGUGGUACCCUUAGCAUCUCUUGUCUAGCCUGCUGGUGUUCCCGAGUGCUGUCCUGACUGUCGGGGAAUUGUGGGCGUCUACGGGAGUGCUGAGCUUCUCCCUGUACCAAGCACCGCCACGCAGCACCAGAGAGCCAUGAGUACGUAAGUGAGGUGGCCAGAGUUGUGAAGUGAGUGUGGCAGCGAGCCCUGUGCUGCCGACAGUGACGUGUGGGGAGGCCACGGCGAAGUGUGCGUGUAAGAUUCCAGCGGAGGCGGCAGUCUGUGUGGCGGGGCCUCGGGGGAGAAAGUCUUGGCCUGGCCACCCUGCCUGUGACCUGUGGCCUCUUGUUGCUUCACCAUGUUAAGAGGGUGGUGCUGUGAAGCUGGUGGCACAGGAGCUGACCAGUGCUGCAGGAAGACAGCACACAGCUUCAGUAUCUUCGAUGAUAGUGUUUAAAUAUACCAUGUUGGUUUGUUUAUUAGCAGUCAGAUUAAUUUGCUUGGCUUAGUCUUCAUUUGUUCUUUAUUUAGUGUUGGCAUAUAUAUAAUUGUUUAGUCUUUUAUUUAGGAGAUCAAUUUUUCCCUGUGUGUUUAUUGUGUUGGCAAAUGUCUUCCCCUUUACAAGCUUACUCCUUGUUGUAGGCCAGUUCAAAGUGGAGCAUUUUGACUCCUAAUACUUGACUCACCAUACUCAUCAUCAACCUGUGUCCUGUACUUUGUGUGUAAGCUUCCAUAUCUUUGAGUCGUGCAUCUAAUACACUUUUCACUAUUCACCUGCACACGUUGAGCCUCGCUACAUUCACGCAGGACGGAACAAAACGAAGCCUGUCCAUUUUGUGUGUCCAUUCUUUAUUGUAGGACUACUUACAAGAUGCAGCAUUUGUAUAUGUAAUGCUGUGUGUGUGUGUGUGUGUAAGGGGGACACCUAUUGGUAAGGGGCUGUGGGGAGUCACUGUGGGUUUGUAAACAUACUGUGGGGGACAUACUGUGGGGCUGUGGGCUGAGAGAGAGAGAGAGAGAGAGAGAGAGAGAGAGAGAGAGAGAGAGAGAGAGAGAGAGAGAGAGAGAGAGAGAGAGAGAGAGAGCUUGCAUGAAUGAGUGUGAAGUGAAGCAGGUGUUGUUGAAGCAGGGGAGAGGUGUUACUCAGUGUUAUUCAUCACAGGAGAGGUGUUGUUGAUGCAGGGGAGAGGUGUUACUCAGUGUUGUUCACCUUCAUGUCCUGGACACAUGCACGGACUUGUGCCUCUGCAACCUGGCUGGCAGGAGGUGGCGGGGGGGGUGGCUGGCUGGCUACCCUCUGCAUCACCACUUGCUGGGGGAAAGAAGAGCACCAUUGUCAUCAUCAUUGUUUUCCUUCACAGUGUGCAAGGAAUGGUGGCAGAGGUUGUUGUUGUUGUUGUUGUUGUUGUUGUUGUUUUUGUUGUUGUCUGUUUCUUAUUAAAUGAUGUGUGUGUGUGUUAAAUAAAAGUAGUCCACAGUUA